UCCUCGAUAGCUCAGUUGGUAGAGCAGCUGACUGUUAAUCAGCGGGUCACAGGUUCGAGUCCUGUUCGAGGAGCCA
rnacentral:tRNA from 1 species